GUCGUGUGGGAGAGAAGCCAAGGAGCUACAGCUGCAGAACCAGACCUAUUUAUUUGUGUUGGCAACCUGUUAGUGCGAGUGCUCCACUACAUCCAAGUGAACUGGCCAGGUGGUCCUGCCUGCCUUGGGACCACUCCAACAAACGGAUGGCGAGCUAGAACUUGAGCCAGGAGCCUGAAGGUCCUUCUUUUUCCUGGUCUUCAACACAAGUCAGGGUCUGGUAGGAGGCUCUGCAGCCUGUUUUUCCUCUCCCCACUACUCGGGUCAAGCAGUUCCAAUAACCAUUCAACCUAUGAGUAAUCAAGCAGCGCUAAUGGACACUCACCUUGUAUCGCCAUAAACUGAAGCCAUUCAUUUGUACUCUUGACUCUUUGUAACUUACAAACGUUGGGGUGGGGAAAGUGAACUGGGUUUUUGUCUCCCUGUUGAACUGUAUAUUGUGUACAC